GUCUGUGUGUAGGAUGGCUUGGAUUUCUGUCCUCCUUGUGCUCCUCUGUCAUUGCACAGGUUCCCUCUCCCAGCCUGUGCUGACUCAGCUGCCUUCCCUCUCUGCAUCACCUGGGACAACCGUCAGACUGUCCUGUACCCUGAGAAGUGGCAUCAGUGUUGGGAACUACAGGAUCAGCUGGUACCAGCAGAAGCCAGGAAGCCCUCCCUGGUAUCUCCUGAACUACCACACAGACUCAGACAAGGGCCAAGGCUCCGGUGUCCCGAGCCGCUUCUCUGGAUCCAAAGAUGCUUCAGCCAACGCAGGGAUUCUGCACAUCUCUGGGUUGCAGCCUGAGGACGACGCUGAGUAUUACUGUGCUACAUAUUAUAGCAGCACUUACCCUCACAGUGAUCCAGACUCAUGGGGAAAUCGUACAUUCUAUAUGAUCUAUAAUGCACACAAUCUUUGUUCUGCUAGUAUGGAAAGCUCUUCUUAG